AACGGUGGUAAUGCCGGAUGCUCCAGUUGAUCGCAUGGUCUUCUGGGAAAGCUUUCGCGGUAUGGGAUGGGGUCGCGUCCUAUCAGCUUGACGGCGGGGUAACGGCCCACCGUGGCUUCGACGGGUAGCCGGCCUGAGAGGGCGACCGGCCACAUUGGGACUGAGAUACGGCCCAGACUCCUACGGGAGGCAGCAGUGGGGAAUAUUGCACAAUGGGCGCAAGCCUGAUGCAGCGACGCCGCGUGAGGGAUGGAGGCCUUCGGGUUGUAAACCUCUUUUAUCGGGGAGCAAGCGAGAGUGAGUUUACCCGUUGAAUAAGCACCGGCUAACUACGUGCCAGCAGCCGCGGUAAUACGUAGGGUGCAAGCGUUAUCCGGAAUUAUUGGGCGUAAAGGGCUCGUAGGCGGUUCGUCGCGUCCGGUGUGAAAGUCCAUCGCUUAACGGUGGAUCCGCGCCGGGUACGGGCGGGCUUGAGUGCGGUAGGGGAGACUGGAAUUCCCGGUGUAACGGUGGAAUGUGUAGAUUCGAAAAAAA
rnacentral:rRNA from 1 species